rnacentral:rRNA from 1 species
AACGAACGCUGGCGGCAUGCCUAACACAUGCAAGUCGAACGAAGGCUUCGGCCUUAGUGGCGCACGGGUGCGUAACGCGUGGGAAUCUGCCCUUUGGUUCGGAAUAACAGCUGGAAACGGCUGCUAAUACCGGAUGAUGACGAAAGUCCAAAGAUUUAUCGCCAGAGGAUGAGCCCGAGUUGGAUUAGGUAGUUGGUGGGGUAAAGGCCUACCAAGCCGACGAUCCAUAGCUGGUCUGAGAGGAUGAUCAGCCACACUGGGACUGAGACACGGCCCAGACUCCUACGGGAGGCAGCAGUGGGGAAUAUUGGACAAUGGGCGCAAGCCUGAUCCAGCAAUGCCGCGUGAGUGAUGAAGGCCCUAGGGUUGUAAAGCUCUUUUACCCGGGAAGAUAAUGACUGUACCGGGAGAAUAAGCCCCGGCUAACUCCGUG